UGGGGAAUUUUGGACAAUGGGCGAAAGCCUGAUCCAGCAAUGCCGCGUGUGUGAAGAAGGCCUUCGGGUUGUAAAGCACUUUUGUCCGGAAAGAAAUCCUUGGCUCUAAUACAGUCGGGGGAUGACGGUACCGGAAGAAUAAGCACCGGCUAACUACGUGCCAGCAGCCGCGGUAACACGUAGGGUGCAAGCGUUAAUCGGAAUUACUGGGCGUAAAGCGUGCGCAGGCGGUUUGCUAAGACCGAUGUGAAAUCCCCGGGCUCAACCUGGGAACUGCAUUGGUGACUGGCAGGCUAGAGUAUGGCAGAGGGGGGUAGAAUUCCACGUGUAGCAGUGAAAUGCGUAGAGAUGUGGAGGAAUACCCGAUGGCGAAGGCAGCCCCCUGGGCCAAUACUGACGCUCAUGCACGAAAGCGUGGGGAGCAAACAGGAUUCAGAUACCCUGGUAGUCCACGCCCUAAAGCGAUGUCAACUAGUUGUUGGGGAUUCAUUUCCUUAGUAACGUAGCUAACGCGUGAAGUUGACC
rnacentral:rRNA from 1 species